CGUUGCAUUAUGUCUCAGUAUCCAAUUUCAGGUUUAUAGGAAACAUCUGAGUAUUCUAUCUUCUAAUUGAAUAAUUGUACUUCUGUAAUAUUUCUUCUCAUAGUCUCGGUGUUGGGCCUAGGUAAACACAGUGAUUUUAGCUUCAGUGCUAGUGGAGAGAAAUUAUAUUCCCUCAUGUUUACUCAAUGUUAUUAUUCUCUUUGAGACGGUUCAAUGAGAAGUAGGACUUCCAACAAAAAUUUGUCCCUCCUGCAUCAUGCAAGUGUCUCUUCUUUACCUCAAUUAAUUUUUGAUAUGACAAAGACUCAAAUAAACUGCUGCUGAACUAAAUAGUGUAACAAGUAAAAUGAUAUUUGAUUAACUCCACACUGAAGACUUGUUUAUUAUUUUUUAACGUAUACAGAUCAAGGAAUUCAGAUGUACUUGCACAGAAGUUUCAGCUCAUUCUGCUUUUUCCUUAAACUCACUGAAGGAGAGAUUGUCUCCGGUGACAUCUUCAUGAUUUUAGAAAAGCUGAUGUAGACAGUACUUCUCAUAUUUUUCAUGUAUAACCUCAACUAUUUUGGAGUCAUUGUCAGCAAAAGUAUCUUACAGAAGCAUCAUUUAGGCUGUUCUGUUUUGUCAUGAAAGGAUAAUCAUGGCUUGAGAACAAGAUCCGCUUUCAUCCUUCCUCUAGCUUGUCAGUGCUGCAACUACUUCUUCCUUCAGGCUAAAAUACUGUGAUACAAAAAGGUCUUGAAAUGUAAUGUCAUACUGAAGCUAAAGAAUUAUACCUAUUCAAGAUAGGAUUUCAUAUGGGAUUCAAGCUUUUCAGUACUGAACUUCAAGGAGUGGAGUGUAACAAAGAGAAUCUGCAUCAUCACUCUUUCCCACCUGCCCUUAUGUGACAGAUAUUUAAAGAAAUACUGAGAAUCCUGCUGUCUACAGACUGAUUUGAUGGAGAGCAUUUGACUGGUCCUGGAGGGAAAAGCUUGUAAAAAUGAGAUCAGCAUGUAACCCUUUGAAAAGCUGGCAGUGAAAAUAUGGGUGUUGAAGCUGGUACUACAGAAUGAAACAGCAGUAUAAAUGAAUACUUAAAGAAAAUGUGUACACUGAUGAAAAUCUCCCGCCAAAAAAAAUUAAAUGUAAUUUUACAUACUUGAGUUUUACAUCCAGAACAAAUCAUAUAUAUUUAUACCAAGAGUAUAUUUAUUUCCCAUAACAGUGAGUAAAUCAAUUGCAAAGUGGGAUUCUGUUGACUAUAAAGACAAUUGAAUUCAAUUUCUGGAGAACUUGAAGAAGUAAAAAA
ensembl:lncRNA